CCCAACUUUAUUCAUCGAUUGGAAAAAAUUUUCGAACAAAUUUGAUAGGCUCACUAUCUGGAGGUUCUGCUGGAAGACAGUAGGUUCUACGAGAACAAGGAAACUAGCCCCCCCAUUGGUUUCAAGAUUCGGUUUUGUCGAACCCCAAACCACGGAAUAGCAUGUGAAAUCGUAAACUUAACCAAUUUGUUUGAUUUUUUUUUCCUUGGUGAUGUUUUGAAGGGAUUUUGCCUAUAGUGUGCAUCAUGGAUUGUAUUGUGUUUUGCAAGAUGGAUUGUGAGGUCUGGGUUAACCAGUGGAUGAUUUAGUCCUACUUGUGGAGCGACUAUGACAUCGAGGUUAUAAAUGAUGACACUAGGAUGACUAUUGCAGUAGACCUAGUGAUGGGAAAGCAUAACACCAUAUCCGAAGUCGUUGCAAGGGCAGUGAAGCACUGAGACAGUAUCAUGAUCAGGUCCCAGAAAGAAAAAAAAUCCAUCUCGAAAUAGCAACCCCACAAUAUGAUGUUGAAUGACUUUUUCUUUUUUGGAGAUCAUGUUGGGAAUGAUUGAUUUU